GGGUUGUGAGGUUAAGCGACUAAGCGUACACGGUGGAUGCCCUGGCAGUCAGAGGCGAUGAAGGACGUGCUAAUCUGCGAAAAGCGUCGGUAAGGUGAUAUGAACCGUUAUAACCGGCGAUGUCCGAAUGGGGAAACCCAGUGCAAUUCGUUGCACUAUCGUUAACUGAAUACAUAGGUUAACGAGGCGAACCGGGGGAACUGAAACAUCUAAGUACCCCGAGGAAAAGAAAUCAACCGAGAUUCCCCCAGUAGCGGCGAGCGAACGGGGAGCAGCCCAGAGUCUGAAUCAGCUUGUGUGUUAGUGGAACGGUCUGGAAAGUCCGACGGUACAGGGUGAUAGUCCCGUACACCAAAAUGCACAGGUUGUGAACUCGAAGAGUAGGGCGGGACACGUGGUAUCCUGUCUGAAUAUGGGGGGACCAUCCUCCAAGGCUAAAUACUCCUGACUGACCGAUAGUGAACCAGUACCGUGAGGGAAAGGCGAAAAGAACCCCGGCGAGGGGAGUGAAAAAGAACCUGAAACCGUGUACGUACAAGCAGUGGGAGCACCUUCGGGUGUGACUGCGUACCUUUUGUAUAAUGGGUCAGCGACUUAUAUUCUGUAGCAAGGUUAACCGUAUAGGGGAGCCGCAGGGAAACCGAGUCUUAACUGGGCGUUAAGUUGCAGGGUAUAGACCCGAAACCCGGUGAUCUAGCCAUGGGCAGGUUGAAGGUUGGGUAACACUAACUGGAGGACCGAACCGACUAAUGUUGAAAAAUUAGCGGAUGACUUGUGGCUGGGGGUGAAAGGCCAAUCAAACCGGGAGAUAGCUGGUUCUCCCCGAAAGCUAUUUAGGUAGCGCCUCGUGAACUCAUCUUCGGGGGUAGAGCACUGUUUCGGCUAGGGGGUCAUCCCGACUUACCAACCCGAUGCAAACUACGAAUACCGAAGAAUGUUAUCACGGGAGACACACGGCGGGUGCUAACGUCCGUCGUGAAGAGGGAAACAACCCAGACCGCCAGCUAAGGUCCCAAAGUCAUGGUUAAGUGGGAAACGAUGUGGGAAGGCACAGACAGCCAGGAUGUUGGCUUAGAAGCAGCCAUCAUUUAAAGAAAGCGUAAUAGCUCACUGGUCGAGUCGGCCUGCGCGGAAGAUGUAACGGGGCUAAACCAUGCACCGAAGCUGCGGCAGCGACACUAUGUGUUGUUGGGUAGGGGAGCGUUCUGUAAGCCUGCGAAGGUGUGCUGUGAGGCAUGCUGGAGGUAUCAGAAGUGCGAAUGCUGACAUAAGUAACGAUAAAGCGGGUGAAAAGCCCGCUCGCCGGAAGACCAAGGGUUCCUGUCCAACGUUAAUCGGGGCAGGGUGAGUCGACCCCUAAGGCGAGGCCGAAAGGCGUAGUCGAUGGGAAACAGGUUAAUAUUCCUGUACUUGGUGUUACUGCGAAGGGGGGACGGAGAAGGCUAUGUUAGCCGGGCGACGGUUGUCCCGGUUUAAGCAUGUAGGCUGAUUGUCCAGGCAAAUCCGGAUAAUCAAGGCUGAGGUGUGAUGACGAGGCACUACGGUGCUGAAGUAACAAAUGCCCUGCUUCCAGGAAAAGCCUCUAAGCAUCAGGUAACAUUAAAUCGUACCCCAAACCGACACAGGUGGUCAGGUAGAGAAUACCAAGGCGCUUGAGAGAACUCGGGUGAAGGAACUAGGCAAAAUGGUGCCGUAACUUCGGGAGAAGGCACGCUGGUGUGUAGGUGAAGUCCCUGCGGAUGGAGCUGAGACCAGUCGAAGAUACCAGCUGGCUGCAACUGUUUAUUAAAAACACAGCACUGUGCAAACACGAAAGUGGACGUAUACGGUGUGACGCCUGCCCGGUGCCGGAAGGUUAAUUGAUGGGGUUAUCCGUAAGGAGAAGCUCUUGAUCGAAGCCCCGGUAAACGGCGGCCGUAACUAUAACGGUCCUAAGGUAGCGAAAUUCCUUGUCGGGUAAGUUCCGACCUGCACGAAUGGCGUAAUGAUGGCCAGGCUGUCUCCACCCGAGACUCAGUGAAAUUGAACUCGCUGUGAAGAUGCAGUGUACCCGCGGCAAGACGGAAAGACCCCGUGAACCUUUACUAUAGCUUGACACUGAACAUUGAGCCUUGAUGUGUAGGAUAGGUGGGAGGCUUUGAAGCGUGGACGCCAGUCUGCGUGGAGCCAACCUUGAAAUACCACCCUUUAAUGUUUGAUGUUCUAACGUUGGCCCCUUACCGGGGUUGCGGACAGUGUCUGGUGGGUAGUUUGACUGGGGCGGUCUCCUCCCAAAGCGUAACGGAGGAGCACGAAGGUUAGCUAAUCCUGGUCGGACAUCAGGAGGUUAGUGCAAUGGCAUAAGCUAGCUUGACUGCGAGCGUGACGGCGCGAGCAGGUGCGAAAGCAGGUCAUAGUGAUCCGGUGGUUCUGAAUGGAAGGGCCAUCGCUCAACGGAUAAAAGGUACUCCGGGGAUAACAGGCUGAUACCGCCCAAGAGUUCAUAUCGACGGCGGUGUUUGGCACCUCGAUGUCGGCUCAUCACAUCCUGGGGCUGAAGUAGGUCCCAAGGGUAUGGCUGUUCGCCAUUUAAAGUGGUACGCGAGCUGGGUUUAGAACGUCGUGAGACAGUUCGGUCCCUAUCUGCCGUGGGCGCUGGAGAAUUGAGGGGGGCUGCUCCUAGUACGAGAGGACCGGAGUGGACGCAUCACUGGUGUUCGGGUUGUCAUGCCAAUGGCACUGCCCGGUAGCUAAAUGCGGAAGAGAUAAGUGCUGAAAGCAUCUAAGCACGAAACUUGCCCCGAGAUGAGUUCUCCCUGAGACUUUAAGUCUCCUGAAGGAACGUUGAAGACGACGACGUUGAUAGGCCGGGUGUGUAAGCGCAGCGAUGCGUUGAGCUAACCGGUACUAAUGAACCGUGAGGCUUAACCUUACAACGCCGAAG
rnacentral:rRNA from 1 species